rnacentral:rRNA from 1 species
GACGAACGCUGGCGGCGUGCUUAACACAUGCAAGUCGAACGGACAGGCCCUGCUUUUGUGGGGUGCUCGAGUGGCGAACGGGUGAGUAACACGUGAGUAACCUGCCCUUGACUUUGGGAUAACUUCAGGAAACUGGGGCUAAUACCGGAUAGGAGCUCCUGCUGCAUGGUGGGGGUUGGAAAGUUUCGGCGGUUGGGGAUGGACUCGCGGCUUAUCAGCUUGUUGGUGUGGUAGUGGCUUACCAAGGCUUUGACGGGUAGCCGGCCUGAGAGGGUGACCGGCCACAUUGGGACUGAGAUACGGACCAGACUCCUACGGGAGGCAGUAGUGGGGAAUAUGGCACAAUGGGCGGAAGCCUGAUGCAGCAACGCCGCGUGCGGGAUGACGGCCUUCGGGUUGUAAACCGCUUUGGCCGGUGACGAAGCGUGAGUGACGGUAAUGGGUAAAGAAGCAACGGCUAACUACGUG